rnacentral:rRNA from 1 species
GAUCAAGCGUUUUAAGAGCGUCCAGGGGAUGCCUUGGCGCCAAGUGACGAUGAAGGACGUAGUUGGUUGCGAUAAGCGACGGUUAGCCGCCAACAGGCUUUGAUCCGUUGAUUUCCGAAUUGGACAACCAAACGGUGGAAACACACGUUACCGCCCCGUUAAACGGGCGGGGGUAACCGGGAGAACUGAAACAUCUUAGUACCCCGAGGAAAAGAAAGCGAAGCGAUUCCCUGAGUAGCGGCGAGCGAAACGGGAACAGCCUAAACCGAGCAGGUGUCAAGCCCGCAGGCGUUGCCUGUUCGGUGUCGUGGGAUUCGAUUGGGCGGGGUUGCGGACCCGCCGGGAAGUUACAAAAGUUCAGUCUAGGCGAAGGGUCUGGGAAGGCCCGCCACAGAAGGUGAGAGCCCUGUAGCCGAAAGAUUGCACCCUUCCUGGGUCGAACUCCCAAGUAACGCGGGACACGAGAAACCCUGCGUGAAUCUGGGUGGACCAUCACCUAAGGCUAAAUACUACUUGGCGACCGAUAGUGAACUAGUACCGUGAGGGAAAGGUGAAAAGAACCCCUGUUAGGGGAGUUUAAAGAACCUGAAACUGGACGCUUACAAUUUGUGGGAGCCCUAUGCCAGCAAUGGCACGGGUGACCGCGCACCUUUUGCAUAAUGAGCCGGCGAGUUAUUGCGUGUGGCAAGGUUAAACCUGAAAGGUGAAGCCGAAGCGAAAGCGAGUCUGAAUAGGGCGUUCAGUCGCACGUUAUAAACCCGAAGCUGAGUGAUCUAUCCAUGGCCAGGAUAAAGCGAAGGUAACACUUCGUGGCGGUCCGAACCAGUAGACGUUAAAAAGUCUUUGGAUGAGCUGUGGAUAGGGGUGAAAGGCCAACCAAACUCAGCAAUAGCUGGUUCUCCCCGAAAUAUAUCUAGGUAUAGCCUCAUGUAAUACACGGCGGCCGUAGGGCGCUGGAUGGACUAGGGGCCCCACCAGGCUACCAAACCCAACCAAUCUUCGAAGACCGUCGUGCGUAUCAUGGGAGUCAGAACAUGGGUGAUAAGAUCCAUGCUCGAGAGGGAAACAGCCCAGAUCGUCAGCUAAGGUCCCCAAGAACAGGCUAAGUGGAGAAGGCUGUGGGAAUGCACAGACAGCCAGGAGGUUGGCUUAGAAGCAGCCAUCCUUUAAAGAAAGCGUAAUAGCUCACUGGUUAAGCGCGCCUGCGCCGAAGAUUCAACGGGGCUUAAGCCUGUCACCGAAGCUACGAAUUUUGCAUAUCGUUCGCGAUAUGUAAAGUGGUAGGGGAGCGUUCCAUGCUGGAUGAAGGUCGACCGCGAGGACGGCUGGACGGCAUGGAAGUGAGAAUGUCGGCAUGAGUAACGAUAAACCGGGUGAGAAACCCGGUCGCCGAAAACCCAAGGUUUCCUGGGGAAGGUUAAUCCGCUCAGGGUUAGUCGGUACCUAAGGCGAGGCCGAAAGGCGUAGCCGAUGGAAAACAGGUUAAUAUUCCUGUACCGCCACCGUUGCGUUAUCACGAUGGGGUGACGCGGCAGGGUAGGUCAGCCAGGCGAUGGUUGUCCUGGUUUGAGAGCGUAGGGGGAUCCUCCAGGCAAAUCCGGAGGAUCACUACCCCGAGGCGAUCAUGGCCCCUAGCCUACGGGCGAAGGGUAACUGAUUGAUCCCAUACCGCCAAGAAAAACCUCUAAGGAGUGGCGGUGGCGACCGUACCGUAAACCGACACAGGUGGGUGAGGAGAGUAUCCUAAGGCGCUUGAGAUAACCCUGGUUAAGGAACUCGGCAAAUUAACUCCGUAACUUCGGGAAAAGGAGUGCCCUUUGUACGUGAAGAGGUUUACCCUCGGAGCGGAAGGGGGUCGCAGCGAAGCGGUAGCCGCGACUGUUUACUAAAAACACAGGUCUCUGCUAAGUCGUAAGACGAAGUAUAGGGACUGACGCCUGCCCGGUGCCGGAAGGUUAAAAGGAGGGGUUAGCCGCAAGGCGAAGCUUCGAAUUGAAGCCCCGGUAAACGGCGGCCGUAACUAUAACGGUCCUAAGGUAGCGAAAUUCCUUGUCGGGUAAGUUCCGACCUGCACGAAUGGCGUAACGAUGGCUAUACUGUCUCAACCAGGGACUCA